rnacentral:lncRNA from 1 species
AUAGAUUAUGUGACCUAUCAUGUGAUUAACUGCUUUUGUUUGCUUCUGUAAGUUUGCUUAUAAAAACCCCACUCAGUCUUUGUUCAAUGCUCAGCUUUUUGGAUAUGAAUCCACUAAGCCAGUGAGUACCUGAAAUAAACAAUCCUCCUGUUCUCCAUGUCAGUCUCUCUAGUCCUCAGUUUCCCACAACAAUGGUCCGCAUGAGCGAUCAGACAGAUCCGCCAGGGAAUCAAGGAGUGCCACCCAGGGAAGCAAGAUGGUUGCUAGAAGAGCGGCAGAUUGGAUGGAGCAGGGAGUUCGGGUGUGACAGGAUGACUGUGGUGUGGUGGUAGGACUUCGACGUGUGGACCCCCAGGUGGGGAGGAUGGCUGCAGAGCUUGGAAAGGGG